CCUGGUCGCUUCGUGCCAUGCCUCGCACUCCCGGUGCCCUGGCUGUGGCUUGCAGGCGGUAUGCCCACACCCACCUGCCCUACAACAGCAGUCGUGGACUGGGACAUUCAUCUUUCCUUAGGGCUUUCAGUUCUGUGAAAUAAAUUCGACUGCCUUUAGAUUAACAGAAGAGAACAGCACAUGAAAUUGCAACCAUUACACACUGUCUGAGGAACUACCACCGCACUGGAAAAGAAAGUUACUUUGUAAGGCUUUCAAUAAUUCCAUCUGUACAACCUAGGAUGAUGCUAGUCUUUUCUGUAAUGGCAUGAUGUUGUCAACUCAUAUUUGACUGGGACUGUUUUAAUUCUGUGAUCCUUGUCUGAAGCAGUGUUAAUUACAUUUGUCUUCUCGAGCUUGUAUUUUUGCAUUUUACUAUUUUUUCCUAAGUGUAUGAUCAUUUCUUCCACCAAUGUUCAUCCAAUUUUUCUGGACUAUUU